rnacentral:rRNA from 1 species
AGGUGAUAUAUUGAAAAAUGGUAUAUGUAAUUAAUAUUAUUUUAAGGAUUAUAAAUCAAAAUUUAUAAAUGAUAAAAAGAUUAACUAAAAAGUAAUCAAUCAUAAUCAUGAAAAUGAUAAAAAAUAAAAACAAGUGGAAUGAAACAUCUGAGUAACUUGUAAAAUAACCAACAGGGAUAAUAUAAGUAACGGUGAGUGAAAGUAUUAGAAUCUUAAAGUAUUACCAAGAGGUAAGAAUAAAGUAGUUUCCAACUACUAAGAAAAAAAAAUAAAUUUUAGAUUAAAGUACCGCAAGGGAAAGUAAGAAAAUAGAAUAAUAAAGAGCAAUCAUUGAAUGGUUUACCUCUUGUAUAAUGGGCCAGUGAGUUAUAUAUUUUAGUGAGAUUAAAUUCGAAUAUAAAUAGAAAUUAAUUAAAGUAUAUAGGCCCGAAAGCAAACGAUCUACACAUGCCCAAGUGUAUAUAAAACCUUAUAAGGUAUAUAUAUGACUCAAUAGGUAAUUGUAGCAAUAAUUUCUAAAGAGGUGUGUGUAGCUGUGACAGACAAAUCUGGUUUGCAGAUAGCUGGUUUUCUGCGAAAUAUAUUUUAGUAUAGCCUUUAUAAUCUGUUUUAAAUAACAGACAUUUAAACUGGUACAGCACUUAAAUACCUUUGGGGAAUUAGAAUAUAAUUUUAUCAAAAUAUUUAAACCUCGGAAUCAGUGAAUAAUGAAAUAUAAGGAGUCAGACUUAUUGCGAUAAGGUAGUAAGUCGAGAAGGAAACAACCUAGACUAUUAAAUGAAUGUCCCAAAUAUUAAUUAAGUGAAUAAAAUCUAUCCUACUUUAAUUUUUAUAAAAAUCAAAAGUUAAAAUCAUAUGAUUUUACAUUAUUAUAUAUAUAUACCGGCCUUCGGCCGGCAUUUAUAAACCUAAUCUUUAGGCCAUAAUAUACGGGGUAUUAAAUUAUAGACAAUUAGUAAGUGGGUUUGACAAUAAUCAACUUUUAAUGAACAUGUAACAAUGCACUAAUUUUAUAUAUAUAUAUAUUUUUUUUAUAUAUAUAUUUAUUAAUAAUAGAGAAAAUAUAUCGGGUCUAAAUUAAUAACAGUAUUAUAGAUAUAAUCAUAAAGAUUAUAUGGUAGCAGAAUAUAUAAUGGAAAAUUAUAAAGAGAUUGCUGGCUUGAGUAACGAUAGAUAAUAUAAGAUUAUCCCCUUAUUCAUAAGGUUUUACUAUAAACGAACGGUCCCUAAGAUUAAUAUAGAAAUAUAUAAUUAAUGGGUAAAAGAACAGGAAAAUAAAAAUGAACCGUACUGUAGACCGACACAGGUAUGAUAAAAAGGGAAUGGGAUAACUACUUUGAAUGAACUCGGCAAAAUAAAUCGUGCGACUGUUUACCAAAAACAUAGCUUAUUGCAUACUAGUAAUAGUAAGUAUAAUAAGUGAUAUCUGCCCGGUGUUAGUUUAAUAAAUAUUAUUAUUGUUUAGAUAAUUUUAUAAAAGACUGAUAAACGGCGGUCUUAUUGUGAGGAUCCGAAGGUAGCGGUGCGACAAGUUAAGUUCAUAAUAAGAAUAAGGUGAAAAUCCUUUACAAUUGUCAUAUUUGUAAACCUAACUCAACAUGCAUUUUAAGUAAUUAUUUUGUAUGAAGCUUGAGUGACAACGGCUAUAAACUUUAACUGAUAUAAGUGAUCUAGUCUAGGUUAGAACAACAUGAUUAGUAUAAACUAAAUAGUGUAUUAAAAUCUCGUUAUAGGUAAGUAACUUGUUCAGUAUUUGGUUACUUUAUGAUUAAAAUAAUAUUGACGCUACGAAUAUUAUUAUAUGACUGAAAUAAUAAAAUAUAAUCAUCGGGAUAUAGCUAUAAUCUAAAUUGUUCAUAAAAGUCUUAUUAUGGAAACUUGGUAAGCCUUAUACAUACCUAAUUUAAAUACCCCGCAUAUGCGGGGUUAUAUUUAGGAAGUAAUAUAUAAUAUUAAUGAUCUCCCCGCCCACCAAAGGUGGGCGGGCUUUAUUUAAUAGAAAUUAUUAUAUAGUGUAGAAGGUAAAGGAUAAAUAUAAAAAGCUAAUGAUUUUAUGUAAUGUAAAAUAUAAAGUUAUUUAACUUAUUUCGAAAGAAAGCUGACUUAUAUAUAAGGCCAUUAAAAAAAUAAUAUAACAUUAUAAAUAAACGGUUUCCUUUAAGGGGCCCUUGUUUAUAAAAAGUUAUAUUAUAUUUAAGAUAAAAUAAUCAAGAUGAAAUCUUGAUGAUUAGGGGGCCUACGGCCCCCCAUUAUGCCUACUAUAUAAAAAAAUAGAUAUCUAUUUUUUUAUGGAUAUAAGUAUAAUAGGGAAAUCUUAAAAAAUGGUUUGAGCCGUAUGCGAUGAAAGUCGCACGUACGGUUCUUAAGGGGGGAAAGCUUGAGAGGGCCUACCUAUCCUAACAAAUUCAUUGACGUAUAAUUGACGUCCUGCAUGAAUGAAUAUACGAUGCGAUAACUGUAUCCAAAGUAGACUCAGUGAAAUAGCAAUUGCGGUGAAAUUAGUACUAUAAUAUAUCUAUAUUAUACGCCGGGUUGGUGAAAAUCCAACUUUAUAGUUAAAAUACCCCCGCGAAGCGGGGGGGAUUUAAAAGUAUUAAAGAAUUAUCCGGUAUUUUCCGACAUAAUAAUUCAAAAAAAAGAAUACAAUCGAAUAAUACUUAAUCCUUUAAAUGGGAUAAAUUACCCCCCCCCCGAAGGGGGGGGUGAUUAAUCCUCGGCUACGCCGAAGGAUAAAUUACAAAAGGCAAAAUGUAAUUUUAUAACUAUAAAUAAAAAGGUGAAAACGGUUAAUGAUAUCUUAGUUAAAGACCGUCGGCAGUUGUAUAUGUCGCUACAGACUGGUUCACCGAGGUUAGACUGAAAUGUCUGUCUAAAUGUACAGUCGGAUUCUGUAAUAUAAUAGAUAAAUAUAUGGGCCCGCCUUCGGCGGGCCUAAUGAUAUAUUUAUUUUUAUAUAAAGGUGAAAGAUUUAUCUAUUAUUUAGAUAUAACUUAUUAGUACAUAAGUAAGAAACCUUUGUAGGUCAAACCUACUUAAGUUAAUCAGAAUUGGAAGAUGCCGUAUAUCCGUAGGUUGACAAAAAGACCCUAUGCAGCUUUACUAUAUCUUUAUUUUGAUUUUUUAAUCAUAAUAUAUUAUGAUUAACCCUUUUUUUAUUUAUUUCAGCAGAUUAGGUUAUAUUUAUAUUUUAAAUCAAAUGAGAUACCUAUAUAAAUAAAAAAAGAAUCUAAUUAAUAUAGUCAAAAUUCAAUAAAAAUUGAAUUACCCUUAAAAAGGGUUAUUAAUAAACUAAUGACUUAAGUUUUAACUUAUUUAAGAAAGAGUAAAGAGGUUAGUUUCGAUGGGGCGUCGACAUCAGCGAAAGCAUCUGAUGUGUCUAAUAACAAAGAUCUUGAAUAUCAAGACUAAAUGUUUAAUUAAAUUAUUUAUUUAAUAGUAAAUAACGUACAAUAAUUCUAUAUGGUAAAUAGAAUAAAAAGAUAUGAUAGGAAUUACCUAUCUUUAAAUUUUAUCUUAUCCCCGCUAAGCUUAGCGGGGUAUAUAAGUAAGGAUAACAACAUAAUUGUGCGAUGAUAAUAACACAAACAAGUGGAAUUAGUACUUACGUAGAGUGUAGUGAACAGGCAUAAACAAAUGGUAUGGAUGUCGAUAACGGAUUAAAGUUACGCUAGGGAUUAAAUGUUAGUUCCUUUAUAUAAUAAAUUAUAUAUUAUCUCCGCGAUAGUGAGAUAGCCCUCUAAUGAGGGAAUAUUAAUUGGGUGAAUAACAAAAAACUCUUUAUCAAUAUAAAGACAAUUUGUAACGAAGUAUAUAUUAGUUUUAAUAAGAUAUAUAAACGUUCAACGACUAGUAAUUGAGUAAACUAACAAUAAUAUUACCACGAGCGCCCAAUACCUAAUUUACCCCCCGCCUGAAGAGGCGGGAUAUAAAAUGGGCCCCGAAGGGGCCCAUGAUUAUUUAAUUAAUCUUUAUAUUUUAUAUUUCUUUAAUGCCCCUUUGGGGUAUUUUAUAUUUUAAAUGAUAAUGAUUUUUUAUAUAUGGGCAUUAAGGUAAAGACAUAGUCUGAACUAUAUAGUGAUAUAUAGAAGUUGUAAUUAAAAAAGCAACAAUAACAAAAUUGAACAGGGUAAUACCGCGUGAGAGUUGAUAUCGUCAGCGGUGUUUGCCACCUCGAUGUCGUCUAGACUCGUCCUCCUGGUCGCAGCAACUAGGUAGGGUAGGACUGUUCGUCCUCUAAGGAGUUACUUGAGAUGGGUUAAUUACGACGUGAGUCAGUAAUGAUUUUAUCAUCUAUGGAUUUUUUUCUUAUCUGUUGCCUUAAGUGUACGCAAGGAUAAUAAGGUACAUUCCUAUGGUUAAUUAUUUAAUUUAGCUAAGAAUGUUGUGUUUACAUAUUGAAUGCAUAUCAAAUAUUAAAUCCUUCAGAUAAGUUUAUACAUUAUAGACUAUAAUGUUUUAGUUAAUUUGUGAUUUUCGCAUAUUUUCUAAUUAAUUUAUUUAUAAUAUUUAUAUUAUAAAUUUUAAUACAUAUACCU